GAUUGUGUCAGGAAACACGCCUAGAGUGUUGGCUGGCACAGAGAAAACAGUUACUAAAUAGAAUUAUUGCUAUUUUUAUUGUUGGUUUGUGCAGAGCAGAAAGGGAGGAACUUUACUGUUAGUGCCCUAAGCUUUAUUCCUGCCACAGAACUGUAGUUUCUGGUUAUUGAGAGGCCUGGAAGGAAAGAGGAAAUGGAUAGCUCAGUGAAGCCACCCCCUCCCUGGGAGGGGAGCCACCUGAAGCCCAGAGGAAUGGGGCUACUUGCCCAAACAAACACAGCAGUUUGGUGACACAGCCAGGCUUCCAGCUCAGGUCUCACCUGGCCAGUCCCUCUCCCUCUGCUGGCGGCCACUCUUGAGAGAAGAGGCAACUGACCGAAGGUUACCUCUGUGGUGAGGCAGGGCUGCAAGCUCCUGGUGCGUGGCCACCUCUGAGCUGUCAUGUGACACCUUCACCAUCCAGGAAGGGCAACUCUGAGCUGGCCGCAGAUCUGGGAAGGAGCCACUGCCUCGCUUCCACUCCCCAUCAAUCUGUGUGAGAAGGAGGCAGCAUCCUGCAGUCCAUCGUGCCUCAGGGCAGCUCUGGAGUUGCCAGUGCAGUGCCCAGUCUAGCGCUGCGACCUUGGCUUGCCUAUGCCUCAGUUUCCCUGCGUGUCCCACGGAGAUAAUGCAAGCAGUGUACUUUGUUCACGGGGCUGUUGGAAGGCGCGUCAGGUGCAGACAAUGCUGUUUGGUACCUCUGAAGGGCUCACCAAAGGUGGGAUACUUCUAUAAAUAAUCUUCAGGGGUGCCUGGGUGGCUCAGUGGGUUAAGCGUCUGUCUAAGGCUCAGGUCAUGAUCUCGGGGUCCUGGGAUUGAGCCCUGUGUCAGGCUCCCUGCUCUGUGGGGAGUCUGCUUCUCCCUCUCCCUCUGUGCUCUCUUUCUCUUUCUC